CAGUCGCCACGGUAAUACGAAGGGGGCUAGCGUUGUUCGGAAUUACUGGGCGUAAAGCGCACGUAGGCGGAUAUUUAAGUCAGGGGUGAAAUCCCAGAGCUCAACUCUGGAACUGCCUUUGAUGCUGGGUAUCUUGAGUAUGGAAGAGGUGAGUGGAAUUCCGAGUGUAGAGGUGAAAUUCGUAGAUAUUCGGAGGAACACCAGUGGCGAAGGCGGCUCACUGGUCCAUUACUGACGCUGAGGUGCGAAAGCGUGGGGAGCAAACAGGAUUAGAUACCCCCGUAGUCCCUGUCUCUUAUAC
rnacentral:rRNA from 1 species